rnacentral:rRNA from 1 species
CCUACGGGAGGCAGCAGUAGGGCAUCUUCCACAAUGGGCGAAAGCCUGAUGGAGCAACGCCGCGUGGGUGAAGAAGGUCUUCGGAUCGUAAAACUCUUUUGUUAGAGAAGUAAGUGCGUGAGAGUACCUGUUCACGUUUCAACGUUAUCUAACCAGAAAGCCACGGCUAACUACGUGCAAGCCGCCGCGGUAAUACGGAGGUGGCAAGCGUUAUCCGGAUUUAUGGGGCGUAAAGGGAACGCAGGCGGUCUUUUAAGGCUGAUGUGAAAGCCUUCGGCUUAACCGGAGUAGUGCAUUGGAAACUGGGAGACUUGAGUGCAGAAGAGGGAAGUGGAACUCGAUGUGUAGCGGUGAAAGGCGUAGAUAUAUGGAAGAACACCAGUGGCGAAAGCGGCUCUCUGGUCUGUAACUGACGCUGAGGUUCGAAAGCGUGGGUAGCAAACAGGAUUAGAUACCCGUGUAGUC